GACGAACGCUGGCGGCGUGCCUAAUACAUGCAAGUAGAACGCUGAAGCGAGGAGCUUGCUCUUCUUGGAUGAGUUGCGAACGGGUGAGUAACGCGUAGGUAACCUGCCUGGUAGCGGGGGAUAACUAUUGGAAACGAUAGCUAAUACCGCAUAAAAUUGAUUAUUGCAUGAUAAUUAAUUGAAAGAUGCAACUGCAUCACUACCAGAUGGACCUGCGUUGUAUUAGCUAGUUGGUGAGGUAACGGCUCACCAAGGCGACGAUACAUAGCCGACCUGAGAGGGUGAUCGGCCACACUGGGACUGAGACACGGCCCAGACUCCUACGGGAGGCAGCAGUAGGGAAUCUUCGGCAAUGGGGGGAACCCUGACCGAGCAACGCCGCGUGAGUGAAGAAGGUUUUCGGAUCGUAAAGCUCUGUUGUAAGAGAAGAACGGGUGUGAGAGUGGAAAGUUCACGCUGUGACGGUAUCUUACCAGAAAGGGACGGCUAACUACGUG
rnacentral:rRNA from 1 species